AGCAANGCGCAGAACNUUACCAACCCUUGACAUCCNUGGACNGNCGCAGAGAUGCGUCUUUNUCGUAAGAGACCAAGUGACAGGUGNUGCAUGGCUGUCGUCAGCUCGUGUCGUGAGANGUUCGGUUAAGUCNGGCAACGAGCGCAACCCACACCCUUAGUUGCCAUCAUUCAGUUGGGCACUCUAGGGGAACUGCCCGUGAUAAGCGGGAGGAAGGUGUGGAUGACGUCAAGUCCUCAUGGCCCUUACGGGUUGGGCUACACACGUGCUACAAUGGUAGUGACAAUGGGUUAAUCCCAAAAAGCUAUCUCAGUUCGGAUUGGGGUCUGCAACUCGACCCCAUGAAGUCGGAAUCGCUAGUAAUCGCGUAACAGCAUGACGCGGUGAAUACGUUCCCGGGCCUUGUACACACCGCCCGUCACACCAUGGGAGUUGGGUCUACCCGAAGGCGGUGCGCCAACCUU
rnacentral:rRNA from 1 species